rnacentral:rRNA from 1 species
UAGGGAAUCUUCCGCAAUGGGCGAAAGCCUGACGGAGCAACGCCGCGUGAGUGAUGAAGGUCUUCGGAUCGUAAAACUCUGUUAUUAGGGAAGAACAAAUGUGUAAGUAACUAUGCACGUCUUGACGGUACCUAAUCAGAAAGCCACGGCAAACUACGUGCCAGCAGCCGCGGUAAUACGUAGGUGGCAAGCGUUAUCCGGAAUUAUUGGGCGUAAAGCGCGCGUAGGCGGUUUUUUAAGUCUGUUGUGAAAGCCCACGGCUCAACCGUGGAAGGUCAUUGGAAACUGUGAAACUUGAGUGCAGAAGAGGAAGGUGGAAUUCCAUGUGUAGCGGUGAAAUGCGCAGAGAUAUGGAGGAACACCAGUGGCGAAGGCGACUUUCUGGUCCGUUACUGACGCUGAUGUGCGAAAGCGUGGGGAUCAAACAGG